rnacentral:lncRNA from 1 species
UACGUUGGAGCCCAAAAGACAAAGGAACAAUACGAUGAAAGCAAUAAAAGAUCGAUGGGUUUUUUUUUUUCACCUUCAUCAUGGGGCAGAAGAGUGGCAGCAGCAACUAAGUCAGUGAUGCUGAGAAGGACGAGCAUAGAGAAGAGAUAUCGAGCCAAGAAGAGAAUCGUCAUCAUUUCAGUCUCAAGCUCAACAAAGAGAGAGAGAGAGAGAGAUAGAGAGAGAGAGAGAGAGAGAGAGAUCUCCUAUUCUUUAAUCAGAGUAUGUGAAAACAAAACUUGGCUAAGCAAGGGAGCAAGAGAGAGAUAAUUUUUAAGUGAGCAAUCUAACUUCAUGCCUUUAUGUAUGAAAAAAGGGAGAGUGGAUAAAGACUUUUUGCUCUUG